rnacentral:rRNA from 1 species
AUUGAACGCUGGCGGCAGGCCUAACACAUGCAAGUCGAGCGGAUGAAGGGAGCUUGCUCCUGGAUUCAGCGGCGGACGGGUGAGUAAUGCCUAGGAAUCUGCCUGGUAGUGGGGGAUAACGUCCGGAAACGGGCGCUAAUACCGCAUACGUCCUGAGGGAGAAAGUGGGGGAUCUUCGGACCUCACGCUAUCAGAUGAGCCUAGGUCGGAUUAGCUAGUUGGUGGGGUAAAGGCCUACCAAGGCGACGAUCCGUAACUGGUCUGAGAGGAUGAUCAGUCACACUGGAACUGAGACACGGUCCAGACUCCUACGGGAGGCAGCAGUGGGGAAUAUUGGAUAAUGGGCGAAAGCCUGGUCCAGCCAUGCCGCGUGUGUGAAGAAGGUCUUCGGAUUGCAAAGCACUUUAAGUUGGGAGGAAGGGCAGUAAGUUAAUACCUUGCUGUUUUGACGUUACCAACAGAAUAAGCACCGGCUAACUUCGUG